UACACACGUACCCUCCUCUCAUUAGGUGGCAGUAUUUGUACUUUCUGUUACUCUGAACUGUAGCGAGAGUUGAUAUGACAGUUAUAAAGUUGAGAGAAGAGGGAGUUGACUGAUACAGGAGGUGUAACUGCUGAUGGACUGAAGAAAACACAAUGAUCCACUGCAACAAGGUUUAACCAAACAGCCAGAGAACACAAAAUGAUUGUCCUAUAUUAUUUUAUCUUCAGCGUGACUUUAAACAAUAUUUUGGUUUCAGGUUCCUCUCUCAGUCACAAAGUCCAGCAGAGUCCAGCUAACAUUUACAAGAAACCAGCAGAAACAGCCAAAAUCAGCUGUUCACACAGUAUUGACAGCUACAAUCGAAUCUUCUGGUACAAGCAGAUAAAUAACACACAGCUUCAGCUCCUAGGAUACAUGGUAGGUAACUCUGGAGUUUCAGAGCCUGGAUCUGGUGUGAAAAUGGACGGGAGCGCGAAUAAAGAUCAGACAAGCACAUUAACAAUUGAAGGACUGAACCUGAACAGCAGUGCAGUGUAUUUCUGUGCUGCUAGUUUACACAGUGAAACACAUCAUCUGCUCCUCAGUACAAAAACCUGCACAUGAAGUUCUUUCAUCAGCUGCCAGCCCCUUACACACGUACCCUCCUCUCAUUAGGGGGCAGUAUUUGUUCUUUCUAUUACUCUGAACUGUAGCGAGAGUUGAUAUGACAGUUAUAAAGUUGAGAGAAGAGGGAGUUGACUCAUACAGGAGGUGUAACUGCUGAUGGACUGAAGAAAACACAAUGAUCCACUGCAACAAGGUUUAACCAAACAGCCAGAGAACACAAAAUGAUUGUCCUAUUUUAUUUCAUCUUCAGCGUGACUUUAAACAAUAUUUUGGUUUCAGGUUCCUCUCUCAGUCACAAAGUCCAGCAGAGUCCAGCUAACAUUUACAAGAAACCAGCAGAAACAGCCAAAAUCAGCUGUUCACACAGUAUUGACAACUAUGAUCAAAUCUUCUGGUACAAGCAGAUAAAUAACAGACAGCUUCAGCUCCUGGGAUACAUGUUUGGAAACAAGGAAUACCCAGAGACUGGAUCUGGUGUGAAAAUGGACGGGAGCGCGAAUAAAGAUAAGACGAGCACAUUAACAAUUGAAGGACUGAACCUGAACAGCAGUGCAGUGUAUUUCUGUGCUGCUAGUUUAC